UACGUAGGGUGCAAGCGUUAAUCGGAAUUACUGGGCGUAAAGCGUGCGCAGGCGGUGAUGUAAGUCAGGUGUGAAAUCCCCGGGCUUAACCUGGGAACUGCAUUUGUGACUGCAUCGCUGGAGUGCGGAAGAGGGGGAUGGAAUUCCGCGUGUAGCAGUGAAAUGCGUAGAUAUGCGGAGGAGCACCGAUGGCGAAGGCAAUCCCCUGGGCCUGCACUGACGCUCAUGCACGAAAGCGUGGGGAGCAAACAGG
rnacentral:rRNA from 1 species